rnacentral:rRNA from 1 species
CGGGAGGCAGCAGUGGGGAAUUUUGGACAAUGGGGGAAACCCUGGUCCAGCCAUUCCGCGUGAGUGAAGAAGGCCUUCGGGUUGUAAAGCUCUUUCGCAAGGGAAGAAACGUUACGAGCGAAUAACUCGUGAUAAUGACGGUACCUUGAUAAGAAGCACCGGCUAACUACGUGCCAGCAGCCGCGGUAAUACGUAGGGUGCGAGCGUUAAUCGGAAUUACUGGGCGUAAAGCGUGCGCAGGCUGUUUUGUAAGUCAGAUGUGAAAUCCCUGAGCUCAACUUAGGAACUGCGUUUGAAACUACAAGACUAGAAUAUGUCAGAGGGGGGUAGAAUUCCACGUGUAGCAGUGAAAUGCGUAGAGAUGUGGAGGAAUACCAAUGGCGAAGGCAGCCCCCUGGGAUAAUAUUGACGCUCAUGCACGAAAGCGUGGGGAGCAAACAGGAUUAGAUACCCUCGUAC